rnacentral:rRNA from 1 species
CCUACGGGAGGCAGCAGUGGGGAAUAUUGCGCAAUGGGGGAAACCCUGACGCAGCAACGCCGCGUGAGUGAGGAAGGACUUCGGUCUGUAAAGCUCUGUUAAUGAGGAAAAAUGGUAGUUGGUCUAAUAGGCCGAUUAUUUGAUGGUACUCAUAGAGGAAGCACCGGCUAACUUCGUGCCAGCAGCCGCGGUAAUACGAAGGGUGCAAGCGUUGUUCGGAUUUAUUGGGCGUAAAGCGCGCGUAGGCGGACCCGCAAGUCAGAUGUGAAAUCUCGAGGCUCAACCUCGAAACUGCGUCUGAAACUACGGGUCUAGAAUCUCGGAGGGGGAAGGGGAAUUUCGCAUGUAGGGGUAAAACUCCGUAGAUAUGCGAAGGAACACCAGAGGCGAAGGCGCCUUCCUGGACGAGUAUUGACGCUGAGGCGCGAAAGCGUGGGGAUCAAACGAGGUAUUAGACUACCCGUGGUAGUCCACGCUAGUAAACGAUAGAACACUAGGUAUUGGAGGUAUUUCGACCCCUUNUAGUGUCGUACGCUACGACGUUAGUUAGUUCCGUCCGUGGUAGGUACGGUCGCGAGACGUAAACUACGAAUAGAAGUUAGACGGCGUGAGACGUGCCGACGGACGACGACGAGGGAGGAGG